CUAUGAAUCAGUGAGGUUUGGUAUGGAGCUACCAACAUAGCCCCUGAACAGCCUAUGCAUCAGUGAGGUUUGGUAUGGAGCUACCAUGUCCACUUAAAAGACCACAAAACCUUGCCUGACUUAACAACAGCAAGGUACCUCCUGACCACCUCAUGAAAAUGCGUUGGCCGUGUAUGACAUAAGACCCGUUUUCGCAUUAAGCGGCUUAUAUU